UUCUCCCCAGGGUCUGAAAUCUCCUCAUCAUGAUCUGGGCUCCCCUCAUCGUCCUGCUGGGGAUGUGGUGCAAAGGUUCCAGCUCACAGCCUGUGCUGACUCAGCCGCCCUCAGUGUCAGUGUCCCCAGGAAACACCGUGAAACUCUCCUGCACCAUGAGCAGUGGGACCAGCAUCAGUGGCUACCGUGUGUAUUGGUACCAGCAGCAACCUGGGAAUUCUCCACGAUACCUGCUGAGAUACAAGUCAGAUUCUGACAAGGCUCUGGGGUCCCUGCUCGUUUCUCUGGUUCCAAAGACACGUCCAGUAACGCCGGCUAUUUGACCAUCU